GUGGCCACAUCACGUUGAAACUCCGGUUCUCGUACGAUCACCGAAGUUAAGCAACGUCGAUCUUGGUUAAUGCCUAGAUGAGUGACCACUUGGGAAUGCUAGCUGUUGUAA